rnacentral:rRNA from 1 species
AUGGCCCUCAUCUUCACAGUUCUCCUCAUCUUUCUCUUCCUCCACACCACAAGCCCGGCUCUCUUGGGAGAAGAGGAUGACCGCUCCGUGCUUUUAGUCUUCAAGGCCGGCGUGUCCGGCGACCCCAAGGGAGCGCUCGCUGGCUGGGGCUCGCCGGACGUGUGCAACUGGACCGGUGUCGCUUGCGACACGGAGCACCAUGUUGUCGAGUUAAUACUAAGUGAACAAGAGCUCUCUGGCGAGGUCUCGCCCGCGCUUGGCAACCUCUCCCACCUCGGGACACUCAACCUCUCUGGCAACCACUUCACCGGCAGCGUCCCACCGGAGCUCGGCAACCUCUCCUACCUCAAGUUUCUCGACGUGUCCUUGAACACGCUCACAGGGACGGUUCCGCCAGAACUCGGCAACCUCUCCUACCUUAAGUUUCUCGAUGUGUCCUUGAACACGCUCACCGGGACGGUUCCGCCAGAGCUUGGCAACCUCUCCCGCCUAAAGUUUCUCGACCUGUCGUCGAACAUGCUCACCCGGACGGUCCCGCCGGAUCUUGGAAACCUGUCCCGCCUCAAGUUUCUCGAUGUGUCGUCGAACACGCUCACCGGGGCGGUCUCGCCGGAGCUCGGCAAGCUCUCGAGACUCGGCAUCCUCGAUCUCUCCGAGAACGUUUUCUCCGGGGCGGUGCCGCAGGAGCUUGGGAAGCUUUCUCGGCUGACGCAGCUCAGCCUCAACGGAAACCAGUUGAAGGGAUCGAUUCCGGUGGAGCUCUUGCGUAUUCGGCGCUUGGUAUACCUCAAUCUCGGAGACAACAACCUCUGCGGGCAUAUCCCGUCUGCUAUCUUCUGCAACCUCUCCGCCUUGAACUACAUUGAUAUGUCGUCCAACUUUUUGGACGGCGAGAUCCCCAUCCAUGCGGAUUGCCCACUCCCCGAGUUGAUGUCCCUCGUGUUGUGGUCCAACAAACUCAAUGGCAGCAUCCCUCCCUCGCUGUCAAACUCGACGAAGCUCCGAUGGCUGCUACUGCAGUCGAACUUCCUCACUGGCGAGCUGCCGACGGAUGACAUGUUUAGUGGUAUGAGGAGCCUCGAGUAUUUGCACCUAUCGUCCAACUUCCUCGCGAACUCGCGGAACAACACCGACCUUGAGCCAUUCUUCGCCUCACUUACCAACUGCACUGGCCUGAAAGAGCUCAGCAUCGCUAGGAAUAACAUUGCCGGCACGAUCCCGCCUGUCAUCGGUCGCCUCUCUCCCGGCCUCAUGCAACUCCACCUUCAACUUAAUAGAAUCUUUGGUCCGAUCCCGGCAAACAUCUCCAACCUCACCAACCUCAGCUCCCUCAACCUCUCCCAUAACCUCCUCAACGGCUCCAUCCCACAGGGCAUCACCAACAUGCGGCAGCUCGAGCGGCUGCACCUCUCAAACAACCUGCUCUCCGGUGAUAUCCCGUUGUCCCUAGGCAUGAUCCCAUGGCUCGGGCACGUCAAUUUUUCGCAGAACCGGCUCACCGGCGCCAUUCCUCCGAGCAUAGUGCAGUGUCUGAUGAUGCAAAAUCUUGACCUCUCCUACAACAUGCUGCAAGGCAAGAUCCCAGCUGGCUUGUCUAGGAUGAGCGGAUUGCUCAACCUCAACCUCGCCGGCAACCUGCUAUCUGGUGCGAUCCCGAUGACCAUCAGCGAGAUGGUUAGGCUGCAAUUGCUUAACCUGUCCUCAAACAAGCUCUCCGGCACGAUCCCGUCACAGCUCGGCAGGUGCAUCGAGCUCAAGUACCUCGACGUGUCCUGCAAUGGCCUCACGGGGACCCUCCCUCAAUCCUUGGAGAAGGUGGCGUCGCUGGUGCGUGUUAACUUUUCAUACAACGACUUCUCAAGCGAGGUGCCGAGUGGCGGGGCCUUUGCAGGGUUUCGGGCGGACGCGUUCCUCGGCAAUGACAGACUGUGUGCGGGGACGGCGUCGAUGACGCCUGGGUUGGCUAGGUGCAGCGGCGCGAAGCGCAACUUGUUCCAUAACCGGCGAGUGGUGUUGCUCGUCGUCGGCACAGUCGCGAGCUUCACGAUGGCAAUCAUUGGGCUCGCCGUGUGCCGCACCGUGGGACGAGACAGGCGGCGCUCACCGCUGCUACCAUGCGAACCCAACACGAGGGGGGACUACCCGAGGAUCUCCCAACGGGAGCUCUACGAGGCGACGGGCGGGUUCGAGCAGUCGAGGCUGAUCAACGCGAGGCGGUUCGGGCGCGUGUACAAUGGGACGCUCCGUGACGGCACGCGUGUUGCCGUCAAGGUGCUCGACCCCACUACCGGAGGCGGCGAGGUCUCCCGGAGUUUCAAGCGGGAGUGCGAUGUGCUGAGGCGGACGCGGCACCGGAACCUGCUGCGUGUGGUCACCACGUGCAGCCAGCCGGACUUCCACGCGAUCGUGCUCCCGCUGAUGACCAAUGGUAGCCUCGAGAGCCACCUCUACCGGCGUGAUGGCGGCCGCGGACGUGGCAUGGACCUCGCAUGGCUGGUUGGCAUCGCCGGCGACAUAGCCGAGGGGCUCACCUACCUGCAUCACUACGCACCCAUCCGCGUCGCGCACUGCGACCUUAAGCCCAGCAACGUGCUCCUCGACGACGACAUGACGGCCAUCGUGGCUGACUUUGGCAUCGCGCGGCUGGUCAAGGACAUGGGCGACGACGACGACGCAGGCUUUGCCGAUCCAUGCAACUCCACUGCAGGAUUUUUGCAAGGCUCUGUGGGCUACAUCGCGCCAGGUAAUUUACAAGAUAAUCGAAUUAACAUGGCAUAUGAGUAG